AACGAACGCUGGCGGCAUGCCUAACACAUGCAAGUCGAACGAGACCUUCGGGUCUAGUGGCGCACGGGUGCGUAACGCGUGGGAACCUGCCCUUAGGUUCGGAAUAACUCCCCGAAAGGGGUGCUAAUACCGGUUAAUGUCUUCGGACCAAAGAUUUAUCGCCUUUGGAUGGGCCCGCGUUGGAUUAGCUAGUUGGUAGGGUAAAAGCCUACCAAGGCGACGAUCCAUAGCUGGUCUGAGAGGAUGAUCAUCCACACUGGGACUGAGACACGGCCCAGACUCCUACGGGAGGGAGCAGUGGGGAAUAUUGGACAAUGGGCGAAAGCCUGAUCCAGCAAUGCCGCGUGAGUGAUGAAGGCCGUAGUGUUGUAAAGCUCUUUUACACGGGAUGAUAAUGACAGUACCGGGAGAAUAAGCACCGGCUAACUCCGUG
rnacentral:rRNA from 1 species